AGUGAACGCUGGCGGUAGGCCUAACACAUGCAAGUCGAACGGCAGCACAGGAGAGCUUGCUCUCUGGGUGGCGAGUGGCGGACGGGUGAGGAAUACAUCGGAAUCUACUCUGUCGUGAGGGAUAACGUAGGGAAACUUACGCUAAUACCGCAUACGACCUACGGUUGAAAGCAGGGGAUCUUCGGACCUUGCGCGAUUGAAUGAGCCGAUGUCGGAUUAGCUAGUUGGCGGGGUAAAGGCCCACCAAGGCGACGAUCCGUAGCUGGUCUGAGAGGAUGAUCAGCCACACUGGAACUGAGACACGGUCCAGACUCCUACGGGAGGCAGCAGUGGGGAAUAUUGGACAAUGGGCGCAAGCCUGAUCCAGCCAUACCGCGUGGGUGAAGAAGGCCUUCGGGUUGUAAAGCCCUUUUGUUGGGAAAGAAAUCCAGCUGGCUAAUACCCGGUUGGGAUGACGGUACCCAGAGAAUAAGCACCGGCUAACUUCGUGCCAGCCGCCGCGGUAA
rnacentral:rRNA from 1 species